UCGAGCCCACAGAUGGAGCGCAAGUGCUAUGCUCUACAGGUUGUAAAAGCAUAAUGCGAACAACAUUAUUAAUUUGAGUCGGUUUUUCUAUAAAAAGCCCGACAAUCCUUGCAGCCUUCUCUUUGGCUGAACUUUUCUAGAAAGGUCUAGAAGUGCGCGCGUGUGUAGUUUUCUUUAAAGUGAGAGGUUCAAUUAGUAAAAUAGUUCAUACAAAGUUCGUUAGUAAGGUGUUAGUCGCUGUAAAAUUGUUAUAAAAAUUUAUAGUUAAAACACGACACAAAGCAAACAACAAAAACGAACACGUUAAAAAGCAACAAGAAAA